rnacentral:misc_RNA from 1 species
UCUCCGUAGGUGAACCUGCGGAAGGAUCAUUACCGAGUGAGGGGCCUCUGGGUCCUGCGGCCCAUACCUCUUUAUCGUUCUUUGUUGCUUCGGCGGGCGUGCCUCACGGGCGCCGGGUGGGACCCGCCGCCGGGCCCGCGCCCGCCGAAGACACCAUAGAAAGCUGUAGGAAGAUUGAAGUCUGAGCAUCUUAGCUAAACCAGUUAAAACUUUCAACAACGGAUCUCUUGGUUCCG